ACUGUGUGGUAGGUGGAUCUUCACCUGGCCAAGCAAGCCCAGUGACACCCACUACGGUUCAUGUCGCUUCGACCUCCCUGCAACAAUGAUCACUUGAGGUUUGCAUUGUGGAUGGCGUUGACGGUGGGCAUAUAUGCUGCGGUGGAGCUCAUUGCAUGGUUCAUGCUUGGUGUGAACUUGGAACUCAUGAUCCUUUAAUUUGUGAACCUCUGGUUGCAUAUGUAUGUAUGUUGUUGUGAAUCUUCGUUGGAUAUGUAUGCACUGUGUGGACCUGAAACUUACGGUCCUUUCCUUUGUGAUCUUUUGUUGCAUACGUAUGCAUAUGUGGACUUUGCACUCAUGUACGGCUGGAUAUAUGUAUUACUGGAUAUAUGUUUGUUGGUCAUGGUCAUGUACUGCUGGAUA